rnacentral:rRNA from 1 species
CUUGGUCAUUUAGAGGAAGUAAAAGUCGUAACAAGGUUUCCGUAGGUGAACCUGCGGAAGGAUCAUUACCUAGAGUUGUAGGCUUUGCCUGCUAUCUCUUACCCAUGUCUUUUGAGUACCUUACGUUUCCUCGGUGGGUUCGCCCACCGAUUGGACAAAUUUAAACCCUUUGCAGUUGAAAUCAGCGUCUGAAAAAACUUAAUAGUUACAACUUUCAACAACGGAUCUCUUGGUUCUGGCAUCGAUGAAGAACGCAGCGAAAUGCGAUAAGUAGUGUGAAUUGCAGAAUUCAGUGAAUCAUCGAAUCUUUGAACGCACAUUGCGCCCCUUGGUAUUCCAUGGGGCAUGCCUGUUCGAGCGUCAUUUGUACCUUCAAGCUCUGCUUGGUGUUGGGUGUUUGUCUCCUGUAGACUCGCCUUAAAACAAUUGGCAGCCGGCGUAUUGAUUUCGGAGCGCAGUACAUCUCGCGCUUUGCACUCAUAACGACGACAUCCAAAAGUACAUUUUUACACUCUUGACCUCGGAUCAGGUAGGGAUACCCGCUGAACUUAAGCAUAUCAAUAAGCG